rnacentral:misc_RNA from 1 species
UUUAGCGAGGCCGCGAUGGCGGCGGCACUGCUGGCAUUUGUGCUGCCUGACCCACCGCCAUCGCGGCCUCGCUAAA